rnacentral:rRNA from 1 species
AUACGUAGGGGGGCGAGCGUUGUCCGGAAUGAUUGGGCGUAAAGGGCGCGUAGGCGGCGCGGUAAGUCUGGAGUGAAAGUCCUGCUUUCAAGGUGGGAAUUGCUUUGGAUACUGCCGCGCUUGAGUGCAGGAGAGGUUAUCGGAAUUCCCGGUGUAGCGGUGAAAUGAGUAGAGAUCGGGAGGAACACCAGUGGCGAAGGCGGGUAACUGGACUGCAACUGACGCUGAGGCGCGAAAGUGUGGGGAGCAAACAGGAUUAGAUACCCUGGUAGUCCACACUGUAAACGAUGAAUGCUAGGUGUAAGAGGUAUCGACCCCUUUUGUGCCGGAGUCAACACAAUAAGCAUUCCGCCUGGGGAGUACGGCCGCAAGGUUGAAACUCAAAUGAAUUGACGGGG